AACUGACCCGACACUGACUUCUUCAGCCUGGUUAUUGUAGUUCCCGCUGCUAAACUUUCAGCUUGCUCCCUUUUUGUAUGCUCUACUCAUCCGCUGAGAUGUUCUGUUCCCGUUCGUUUCAAAGGGUUUUCCCCGUAGUUCUUGGAGCGUGAUGAAAACGGCUGCUUUAGUGUCUCUGUUCCAACAACUGUGCCACCUCCAAGUCGUUCUUUCCUCUUGUCUUCAUUUCAGAGACGUUGAUAUUUUCCUGGGUCUUCAACUAUCACGUAAUUUGGGGUUGAACAUGAGCCUCAUGUUAUGGGAUUACGGGUCUCCUUUAAAUCGUAUGGGGAAUGUUGGUUCUUGGUUUGUUUCACCGAGCAGCAUUAAUGGGUUCGGGCUUUAAGUUCCUAUGUGCCUUCUCUGGGCUAUGGUUUUCACAUCAACUGAGUUUGGAAGGCUGUGCAGGGCUGUGUAGGGCUGUGCUGAUCUACAUGGGGUGUGUGCUAGCCCCUGCAGCUCUACUCUGAGAUCUCUCGGUUUUCUGUUUAGGGUCAGCUUUGGGGUGAACCCAGGCAUUCUUCUACGGCUUUAUGACGUCACUUUGUUUAGCCCCUCUCCUUUCCACAAUCGCCCACAGGCUUGCUAGGUCCCAGGCCACGCCCCUCCCAUUCUUAGCCUUCCGGGAGCUCCCUUUCUCAGGCCGGAAUGAGAGCACUUCUGUUGGAGAAGUCAUUGUCUGCAUCCUGUGUGCAGUCCGGGUUUCCGGUGGUCUCUGAGCCCAGGCCAGCAGGUCCCAGAGGAAAGGAAACGGAAAACCCACCACCAGCUUGGCAGCACUCUGAUUUCCACUUUUCCUCUAGAAUCUUCCCACUGCUCGGCCAGUGCCCCUCCCCAGGAGGAGAGAAGUGACCUUGAUCACGUGUGGCCCACAGCCAUCAGGGACAGUGUCUGAAUAACUGUGUCUGUCUUCUCAGUCACCCAGACUUUGCAGACAAAUCCUCUCCCUACCAAUAAACUGCUUGAUGUGUUCUUCAGAAACAA